GACGAACGCUGGUGGCGUGCUUAACACAUGCAAGUCGAACGAAGUGGCGAACGGGUGAGUAACGCGUAAUCAACCUGCCCUUCAGAGGGGGACAACAGUUGGAAACGACUGCUAAUACCGCAUACUGAAGGAGGGGAUUGCGUCUGCUUCGCCAGUGGGAGGGGUAACGGCCCACCAAGGCGAUGGUCAGGAGCCGGGCCGAGAGGGUGAACGGGCACAAUGGGACGUGGAAACGGCCCAGACCCCUACGGGAGGCAGCAGGGGGGAAUCUUCCGCAAUGGACGAAAGUCUGACGGAGCAACGCCGGGGGGGGGAUGACGGCCUUCGGGUUGUAAAGUUCUGUUAAGCGGGACGCGGUACCGGAAUAGAAAGCCACGGCUAACUACGUGCCAGCAGCCGCGGUAAUUC
rnacentral:rRNA from 1 species